rnacentral:rRNA from 1 species
UACGAAGGGGGCUAGCGUUGCUCGGAAUCACUGGGCGUAAAGCGCACGUAGGCGGCUUGCUAAGUCAGGGGUGAAAUCCUGGAGCUCAACUCCAGAACUGCCCUUGAUACUGGCGGUCUCGAGUCCGGGAGAGGUGAGUGGAACUGCGAGUGUAGAGGUGAAAUUCGUAGAUAUUCGCAAGAACACCAGUGGCGAAGGCGGCUCACUGGCCCGGUACUGACGCUGAGGUGCGAAAGCGUGGGGAGCGAACAGG